rnacentral:rRNA from 1 species
UAAUUAUUACUAAUAUUUUUAUAAAAAUUAAAUAUAAUAAAAAAAAUAAUUUUUAAUUUUAUUAAUUAGUAAAUAUUAUUAAAAUAAAUAAAUUAGGUGAUAGAAAAAUAGUAUUGUAAAAGAAAUUUUUUAAAUAAAUAUCUUAUCGAAAAGAAAAUAUUUAAAAUUGUAUCUUGUGUAUCAUAGGUGAUUAAAAUUAUAUUUAAAUAAAUUAAUCUCGAAAAAAAAAGAGCUAAGUUAUUAUCAAAGUUUUUAUUACAAUAAAAUUUAAAAUAAAUAACUUAGAAGUGAGAAAUUAUUCGGGUUUUUAUAUCUAGUUUUUAAUAAAAUGAAUUCAAUUCAUUUUAUAUUUAAAAUUAAAUAUAAAAUAAGAAAAUAAAAGUAAAACUUUAUUUUCAAAAAAUUCUAAAAUAAGAAGUUAAUAUAAAUAUUAAAUAAAAUUAGAUUUUAUAGUAAUCAUAUUUAUAUUGUUUUAUAACUAAUAAUAUUAACUAAAAAAAAUUUAUUUAACUUCUAUUUAUACUAAUUAAAAUUAAUUUAAAACAUAAAUAAAUUAGUUAUAAUAAUCUCAUUAGUAUAUAUAUUAUUAUAAUUUAUAAUUUAAAUAAAAAUUUAAACUUAUAAUAUUUAUUGAUUUAUAAAAGUAAUUCGGCAAAUAAAAUUUCCGCCUGUUUAACAAAAACAUGUCUAUAUGAAGUUAUAUAAAGUCUAACCUGCCCACUGAAUAUUAAAGGGCCGCAGUAUUUUGACUGUGCAAAGGUAGCAUAAUCAUUUGUUUUUUAAUUGAAAACUUGUAUGAAUGGUUGAACGAGAAAUAAACUGUCUCUUAUUAAAAAAUUGAAUUUUACUUUUAAGUGAAAAGGCUUAAAUAAUUUUAAGGGACGAUAAGACCCUAUAAAUCUUUAUAUAAUUUUUUAUAUAUUUAUAUUUAUAUAUCUAUUAAAAUAAAUAAAAUAUUAUAUUAUAUUGGGGUGAUAAAAAUAUAUAAUUAACUAUUUUAAUUUUAAAACAAUUAUUUUUGAUUUUUAUUUAAGAUCCUUUAUUAAGAUUAAAAGACAAAGUUACUUUAGGGAUAACAGCGUAAUUUUUUUUAAAAGUCCUUAUUAUAACAAAAUAUUAUUUUAAUUUAAAGGUAUUUCCAAAUUGUUUUCUAAGAAAUUUAUUACUUUAUUAAAAAUAUAAAGUAAACACACCAAUAUAAAGUCGAUAUAAAAUAUAAUUUAAACUUGAAAGUUGCUAAUUAGAUGUUUAGUUGUGGGUUGUUCCGAAAAUUUAUUACUUUAUUGGGGAUGUAAAGUAAAUAUGUAAAUAUAAAGUAGACACAAAAUAUUAUUUUAAUUUAAAGGUAUUUCCAAAUUGU